rnacentral:rRNA from 1 species
UACGUAGGGGCCGAGCGUUGUCCGGAGUUAUUGGGCGUAAAGCGCGCGCAGGCGGCUUGACGCGCCCGACGUGAAAGCCCCCCGGCUUAACCGGGGAGGGUCGUCGGGUACGGUCAGGCUUGAGGGCGGGAGAGGGUGGUGGAAUUCCCGGUGUAGUGGUGAAAUGCGUAGAGAUCGGGAGGAACACCUGUGGCGAAGGCGGCCACCUGGGCCGACCCUGACGCUGAGGCGCGAAGGCGUGGGGAGCGAACGGGG